rnacentral:rRNA from 1 species
GAUGAACGCUGGCGGCGUGCCUAAUACAUGCAAGUCGAGCGAACAGACGAGGAGCUUGCUCCUCUGACGUUAGCGGCGGACGGGUGAGUAACACGUGGAUAACCUACCUAUAAGACUGGGAUAACUUCGGGAAACCGGAGCUAAUACCGGAUAAUAUAUUGAACCGCAUGGUUCAAUAGUGAAAGACGGUUUUGCUGUCACUUAUAGAUGGAUCCGCGCCGCAUUAGCUAGUUGGUAAGGUAACGGCUUACCAAGGCAACGAUACGUAGCCGACCUGAGAGGGUGAUCGGCCACACUGGAACUGAGACACGGUCCAGACUCCUACGGGAGGCAGCAGUAGGGAAUCUUCCGCAAUGGGCGAAAGCCUGACGGAGCAACGCCGCGUGAGUGAUGAAGGUCUUCGGAUCGUAAAACUCUGUUAUUAGGGAAGAACAAAUGUGUAAGUAACUAUGCACGUCUUGACGGUACCUAAUCAGAAAGCCGCGGCUAACUACGUG